GUCGAACGGCAGCACGGGUGCUUGCACCUGGUGGCGAGUGGCGAACGGGUGAGUAAUACAUCGGAACAUGUCCUGUAGUGGGGGAUAGCCCGGCGAAAGCCGGAUUAAUACCGCAUACGAUCUACGGAUGAAAGCGGGGGACCUUCGGGCCUCGCGCUAUAGGGUUGGCCGAUGGCUGAUUAGCUAGUUGGUGGGGUAAAGGCCUACCAAGGCGACGAUCAGUAGCUGGUCUGAGAGGACGACCAGCCACACUGGGACUGAGACACGGCCCAGACUCCUACGGGAGGCAGCAGUGGGGAAUUUUGGACAAUGGGCGAAAGCCUGAUCCAGCAAUGCCGCGUGUGUGAAGAAGGCCUUCGGGUUGUAAAGCACUUUUGUCCGGAAAGAAAUCCUUGGUUCUAAUAUAGCCGGGGGAUGACGGUACCGGAAGAAUAAGCACCGGCUAACUACGUGCCAGCAGCCGCGGUAAUACGUAGGGUGCGAGCGUUAAUCGGAAUUACUGGGCGUAAAGCGUGCGCAGGCGGUUUGCUAAGACCGAUGUGAAAUCCCCGGGCUCAACCUGGGAACUGCAUUGGUGACUGGCAGGCUAGAGUAUGGCAGAGGGGGGUAGAAUUCCACGUGUAGCAGUGAAAUGCGUAGAGAUGUGGAGGAAUACCGAUGGCGAAGGCAGCCCCCUGGGCCAAUACUGACGCUCAUGCACGAA
rnacentral:rRNA from 2 species